GAAAUGCGAUAAGUAAUGUGAAUUGCAGAAUUCAGUGAAUCAUCGAAUCUUUGAACGCACCUUGCACCCUUUGGUAUUCCAAAGGGUAUGCCCGUUUGAGUGUCAUUAUACUAUCACACUCUCUAAUUAGUUAGAGAGCGGUGGAUUUGGAUGCUGCCUGGUACUUACUGUCAGGCUCAUCUUAAAUAAAUUAGUGCGACUCUUAGUUAAACAUAGUACGGCGUGAUAAGUAACCCUCGCUGUUUUCUGUCUGAUUAGGAGCUCUGUGCUUCAAACCGUCUCAGGACAAUAUUUGAUAACUUGACCUCAAAUCGAGUAGGAUUACCCGCUGAACUUAA
rnacentral:misc_RNA from 1 species